UACGUAGGGUGCGAGCGUUAAUCGGCAUUACUGGGCGUAAAGCGUGCGCAGGCGGUUAUGUAAGACAGGUGUGAAAUCCCCGGGCUUAACCUGGGAACUGCAUUUGUGACUGCAUAGCUAGAGUACGGUAGAGGGGGAUGGAAUUCCGCGUGUAGCAGUGAAAUGCGUAGAUAUGCGGAGGAACACCGAUGGCGAAGGCAAUCCCCUGGACCUGUACUGACGCUCAUGCACGAAAGCGUGGGGAGCAAACAGG
rnacentral:rRNA from 1 species